rnacentral:rRNA from 1 species
GAUGAACGCUGGCGGCGUGCCUAAUACAUGCAAGUCGAGCGAACGGACGAGAAGCUUGCUUCUCUGAUGUUAGCGGCGGACGGGUGAGUAACACGUGGAUAACCUACCUAUAAGACUGGGAUAACUUCGGGAAACCGUAGCUAAUACCGGAUAAUAUUUUGAACCGCAUGGUUCAAAAGUGAAAGACGGUCUUGCUGUCACUUAUAGAUGGAUCCGCGCUGCAUUAGAUAGUUGGUAAGGUAACGGCUUACCAAGGCAACGAUGCAUAGCCGACCUGAGAGGGUGAUAGGCCACACUGGAACUGAGACACGGUCCAGACUCCUACGGGAGGCAGCAGUAGGGAAUCUUCCGCAAUGGGCGAAAGCCUGACGGAGCAACGCCGCGUGAGUGAUGAAGGUCUUCGGAUCGUAAAACUCUGUUAUUAGGGAAGAACAUAUGUGUAAGUAACUGUGCACAUCUUGACGGUACCUAAUCAGAAAGCCACGGCUAACUACGUG